AUGAAGUUACAUGGUGUAAAGGCAAGCACGGCCCUGGUACAAUCCCCAGAGGCUCUGUUGGUGCAUGAAGGUGAAAGGGUGGAAAUCCGGUGUGCCCUGGAGAGCAGCAAUGUGAAAUACACUGUGGAGAAGUUCCAGGGACACUGGUACAACUCACACAAUAAAUUGACAUUGGAUGGAAUAAUCCUCACUCUGUACCCUGAUGGUAGAGUUUACAGGUCACGGGGCUAUUCCGAGCGAUUUCAACUUUCCAGGGACAUCACCAGUAACAGCUAUUUUCUGACCAUCAGAGAGGUGAAGAUCAAUGACUCUGAUGAUUACAUCUGUGGCAUUUGGGGGAACACCUUUGGAAAAGGAACCCAGCUAAUUGUAACCAACGUGUGA